rnacentral:rRNA from 1 species
GGCUAAGUUNNUGCCAGCAGCCGCGGUAAGACGAACCGUGCGAACGUUGUUNGGAUCACUGGGCUNAAGGGCGCGUAGGCGGGUCAUCAAGUCCGGAGUGAAAUCCUCCAGCUUAACUGGAGAACAGCUUUGGAUACUGGUGGUCUCGAGUGGGGUAGGGGCAUGUGGAACUUCCGGUGGAGCGGUGAAAUGCGUAGAUAUCGGAAGGAACGCCGGUGGCGAAAGCGACGUGCUGGACCCUUUCUGACGCUGAGGCGCGAAAGCCAGGGGAGCAAACGGGAUUAGAUACCCCGGUAGUCCUGGCCCUAAACGAUGGGUAACUAGGUUGUGGACUGACAUGGGUUCACAGCCGAAGCAAAAGUGCUAAGUACCCCGCCUGGGGAGUAUGGUCGCAAGGCUGAAACUCAAAGGAAUUGACGGGGGCUCACACAAGCGGUGGAGCAUGUGGCUUAAUUCGAGGCUACGCGAAGAACCUUAUCCUGG